rnacentral:lncRNA from 1 species
GAAAUAUUCCAGUUCAAAAGAACUUCCCAGUUCUGCGUGUGGUACCGUUGUGACCAGUUCAAGGAACCCAUCGUCCCAGAGUCCUGGUGGUCCCUUGUGCUGCUCUGCUGGAUGGACAUCUUCCUCUGAAAGCAGCUCUCUGAGUUCUUUAUAAAACCCUCUCACCUGGGCAUCCCACAAAUGACAGCAAGUUGGUGGGGAGCUAGCCAGCUGAGGCUGUUGCCUCCUCCCUACCUUUGUUUAACCUUUUGUUUUGUUUCUCUGUCUGUGAUAGGAUCCAGAAACCAGGAUCUGAUGGUGCCUGUGAGCUGGGCUGCUACUGCACUGUAGAAGUCCAUCAGAAAUGCUCUGACAGGAAGAAAAUAUGUUUUCUGCAGCCCCUGGCUCCCUGCCAGCUGUGGGAUAGCUGCUUCAGACACAGACUAGCCCAGACAGUCCUAAUACAUCAUAAUAUUAUGAAACCUCCUCGAAGCAAUGCUAAGAAAAUGUAGGGCAGGAUUUAGUCUGUGGGCUCCUGAGGAAGACCUCUGCCUCAGAUGAAAUCUGGACCCAUGGCUGAGGAGCAACAUCUUCCUCUCCCACCACUAGGAAUGAAGGACGUGUAUCCUCAUCGGGGACAGCAGCAGGGAGACAGCCAGCAAUCCUCCUCCGAACCGCAGCGCUGUUCAGGAAGAAAACCAGCACUUAUCCUCAGACGCUUAAACUGAUUGCAUCCAUGCUCCGCCUGGUCAGCCUCUGAAUACCACUUCCCCUCGCCUGAGUCAUUUAAUCACCGCUGCCAAUCAGCACCAUUGAACAGAGCAGCAAUACGUCUCAAAGCUCAAUCACCUUCAUAAUCGUCUCACUGUCAGCACAUGUGAGGG